UACGUAGGGGCUAGCGUUGUCCGGAUUUAUUGGGCGUAAAGAGCGUGUAGGCGGCCAGACAGGUCCGUUGUGAAACUCGAGGCUCAACCUCGAGAUGUCGAUGGAAACCGUCUGGCUAGAGUCCGGAAGAGGAGUGUGGAAUUCCUGGUGUAGCGGUGAAAUGCGCAGAUAUCAGGAAGAACACCUAUGGCGAAGGCAGCACUCUGGGACGGUACUGACGCUGAGACGCGAAAGCGUGGGGAGCGAACAGG
rnacentral:rRNA from 1 species